GGGACACGUGGUAUCCUGUCUGAAUAUGGGGGGACCAUCCUCCAAGGCUAAAUACUCCUGACUGACCGAUAGUGAACCAGUACCGUGAGGGAAAGGCGAAAAGAACCCCGGCGAGGGGAGUGAAAAAGAACCUGAAACCGUGUACGUACAAGCAGUGGGAGCACGCUUAGGCGUGUGACUGCGUACCUUUUGUAUAAUGGGUCAGCGACUUAUAUUCUGUAGCAAGGUUAACCGAAUAGGGGAGCCGAAGGGAAACCGAGUCUUAACUGGGCGUUAAGUUGCAGGGUAUAGACCCGAAACCCGGUGAUCUAGCCAUGGGCAGGUUGAAGGUUGGGUAACACUAACUGGAGGACCGAACCGACUAAUGUUGAAAAAUUAGCGGAUGACUUGUGGCUGGGGGUGAAAGGCCAAUCAAACCGGGAGAUAGCUGGUUCUCCCCGAAAGCUAUUUAGGUAGCGCCUCGUGAAUUCAUCUCCGGGGGUAGAGCACUGUUUCGGCAAGGGGGUCAUCCCGACUUACCAACCCGAUGCAAACUGCGAAUACCGGAGAAUGUUAUCACGGGAGACACACGGCGGGUGCUAACGUCCGUCGUGAAGAGGGAAACAACCCAGACCGCCAGCUAAGGUCCCAAAGUCAUGGUUAAGUGGGAAACGAUGUGGGAAGGCCCAGACAGCCAGGAUGUUGGCUUAGAAGCAGCCAUCAUUUAAAGAAAGCGUAAUAGCUCACUGGUCGAGUCGGCCUGCGCGGAAGAUGUAACGGGGCUAAACCAUGCACCGAAGCUGCGGCAGCGACGCUUA
rnacentral:rRNA from 1 species